rnacentral:rRNA from 1 species
CCCUUAGAUGUUCUGGGCAGCACGCGCGCUACAAUGGUCUUCGCAAACGGAUGCAUUCUCGAAGGAGAAUGCCAAUCUUGGAAUCUAUGCCUUGGUCGGGACAGUUGCUUGCAAUUUUUCGACUCGAACCAGGAAUUCCUUGUAAUCGUGAUUCAUCACAUCACGAUGAAUACGUCCCUGCCCUUUGUACACACCGCCCGUCGCUCCUACCGAUCGAAGAGUUAGGUGAAUUGUUUUGAUCGAUAAGAUUUGACUAUGGUCAUCUCUCGUUGUGAAAUUCUGUGAAUCUGACUGUUUAGAGGAAGGAAAAGUCGUAACA